GGGAAAGGUUCCCCAUUGGCACAGCAGACAGGGAUGCCAUGUGUUCAGAAAACGAGAAUCACAGAGGUUUAUUAUAUACAGAUUUUCUUUCAGUGCAACUCCAAUCACCCUCAGUUUGUUGUGAAUGCUUGAGGGUGGUAAAUCAGCAGGCAAGGAUAAUAUCCUCCUGACUGCUACUGCCAUGAACUUAUCUCAGUGAAAGUGGUUCAAGGCCCGGAGGAGGCGGGCUGAAAGCUAGCCGGAUAGGAG